GUCCACGCCUUAAACGAUGAAUACUAAGUGUCGGCGGGUUACCGCCGGUGCCGCAGCUAACGCAGUAAGUAUUCCGCCUGGGAAGUACGGCCGCAAGGUUGAAACUCAAAGGAAUUGACGGGGGCCCGCACAAGCGGUGGAGCAUGUGGUUUAAUUCGACGCAACGCGAAGAACCUUACCCAGGCUGGACAUGCAGGUAGUAGAAGGGUGAAAGCCCGACGAGGUAGCAAUACCAUCCUGCUCAGGUGCUGCAUGGCUGUCGU
rnacentral:rRNA from 1 species